rnacentral:rRNA from 1 species
UUGGAGGGCAAGUCUGGUGCCAGCAGCCGCGGUAAUUCCAGCUCCAAUAGCGUAUAUUUAAGUUGUUGCAGUUAAAAAGCUCGUAGUUGAAUUUCGGGGUUAGUAGGCUGGUCGUGCCACCGGUAUGUACUGGUCUUACUGAUUCCUCCUUCCUGAUGAACUGUAAUGCCAUUAAUUUGGUGUUGCAGGGAAUCUGGACUGUUACUUUGAAAAAAUUAGAGUGUUUAAAGCAGGCUAACGCUUGAAUACAUUAGCAUGGAAUAAUGAAAUAGGACGUUCGAUCCUAUUUUGUUGGUUUCUAGGAUUGACGUAAUGAUUAAUAGGGAUAGUUGGGGGCAUUAGUAUUCAAUUGUCAGAGGUGAAAUUCUUGGAUUUAUUGAAGACUAACUACUGCGAAAGCAUUUGCCAAGGAUGUUUUCAUUAAUCAAGAACGAAAGUUAGGGGAUCGAAGACGAUCAGAUACCGUCGUAGUCUUAACCAUAAACUAUGCCGACUAGGGAUCGGAUGAUGUUAAUUUUUUAAUGACUCAUUCGGCGCCUUACGGGAAAC